AGGAAAAUUGAGAGGGUUUGCUUCUAGUACGAGAGGACCGAAGUGAACGCACCGCUGGUGUACGGGUUGUGAUGCCAAUUGCAUUGCCCGGUAGCUACGUGCGGGAUAGAUAAGUGCUGAAAGCAUCUAAGCACGAAACUAGCCUUAAGAUGAGUUUUCCCAGAUGAGAAUCUGUAAGGUCCGUUUGAGACUAAGACGUAGAUAGGUCAGGUGUGUAAGUGUAGUGAUACAUUGAGCUAACUGAUACUAAUGAACCGAGAGUCUUAACCUUACAACUC
rnacentral:rRNA from 1 species